CGCAGCUCCAGCCGCUGCCGCUCCAUCAUCUCGGGCUCCGACUCGAGCGCGUCGAAGACCGCGGCGCCCACCAGCAGCAUUGUUCGCACCAGCCAAGACGGGGAGGCAGCCUGCCCACUGGGAGAUGCGUCGGUAAGGAAAAUGCAGUACGAGUGUACCAGGGAGUGUCCCUCAGUCAACAAGAGGAAGAAAACCCGACCGUACACAACGACACGGUUCAUGCCAGCAUCAUGGCCAGCCUGGAUUAUGGAUGGAUGGAGAGACGACAGCCUCGACUCCAUCACACGUGUGCAUGCACACACACCUGGAGCAGCAGGAAGAGCAUUGGAGGAACCUGAGUUUUCAUUCCAGCUCCACUACUGACCCCGGGCCUCAGUCUCCUCAUCUCUAAGGGGCGUGGUUGGACCGGCCGUCUUCUAAGACCCCUUCCCAGCACAUUCUCUGGAGCAGCUGGGGCCCGCUCCCUUUGCUUAUUUUCCUCUUCCUCCCUCACCCCUGCUUCUCAGGGCCCUGCCUGUCCCCCCAGAACUUCUCUGACUCCCGCCAGGCCUGGACAGCAGUGGGUGGGGUGGGGGGAGCAUGCAUUCUGGCUGGGGGAGGCUGGGGCUGCUUCCGCGGUCGCUUCAGCUUCGCUCCAGAGGCGGUCCGUGUGGAACCCCGCAGGAGGCCUGCACGCACUGCAGCUGCUCCCAGAGUCCACUUCCCCUUCCCCCUUCCCCUUCAGCCCACCCGUCCGGCAUCUGAGAACAGGUUGUUCUCAGCCACUGGAAAAGCCAGGGGUUUUAUUUUAUUUUUUUUAGUUUCAGGUUCCCCUCAGCCUGUCACGUGGUUCCAAUCAGAACCCUCAUUCCCGUUGCUUUCAGAACCCGGGCCCUGGGACUGGCCUUCAGGCCCCUUGCAAGCCUUCUCCCUGCCCCUCUCCAGGCUGGCUUCGAGGUCUGCUCGCCCUGCCCCUCUGGGCUUUGGGAGCACUUGUUCAGGUCCCCAAACCCACUGUGUUUCUUCUGUCUUGGCCCCCAUGGAAUAUCUAUCUCUGUCUGGCUCCUGGCUCUGCCUCACUUACAGCUGCUCCUCUGACGGUCCCUUCCUCCAGGAAGUCCUCCUGGACCCGAGGAGAUUAGGCGCCUCAUGGUCCUCUCAUCCCAACACCACCACCACAAAGAGACCCGCUGUGCCACAAGAACUGGAUGUCUGUCUGUCCCACUAGACUGUAAGCUCAGGAGGGCAGGGACAGAUCAGUGUGUCUCUUCGGCUCAGUGCCGUCUCGGCAGGACCUCCGUGGUGACUGGGGCUGCAAAGGUCCCGAGGAGCAUAUGAGUGAAUGGCAUCUAAAACUGCCCUAAGAGACACCUGAAACCAGCCUCAGCACCGGGCGUCAGAUCGGGGCAUUGCAUUCCCUCAGCCAGCUUCACUCCUCUCUGGGUGGAUGGCUGGCCUCCCCUAAAGCUCUCCCCUUUCCCCUCGUGACUCUGCAGAUUCUCAAAACCGCAAGUCUCUUUUUAAACUUAUCUCUGAUCUGCCAACAUUCGUGGCCCAAUCAAUCAGCAGAGCUCAGACCCACGUUUCGGUCCUUCCCGCCUUCUUCUGACACGUCCAGGCAUUUCCACGCCUUGAUGGCCGCAGCCAGUUGCGAUUACUCAGGG